CUACAUCGAACAAAAAUGAAAGGCGCUGACUGCAGCAGGUUUCUGUAGUCGACACUCCAAAUCUCCAAUAGACGUGCUGAAAUUGAAGGAUCGGGACAGGCGACUUAAAUGACAAACAACCAAUCGAACAAGAGCUCGGUGUCAUAGCUUAAAGUACCGAUUAGGAUUAGUCAAAAGUAAGCUCAAAUCGCGAAAAUCAAAUCCACAAGCAAAAGCGCACUUUACCUUGUUGUCCUGUGGAUCACAAAGCCGAUUAAGGUGGUGUGAUCCUUAACCAAGCUUUGAUAUUGAAGAACCGGGACGGACGAGGGGGGAUGAAU
rnacentral:lncRNA from 1 species